AUGAACGCUAGCUACAGGCUUAACACAUGCAAGUCGAGGGGCAGCAUGGUCUUAGCUUGCUAAGGCCGAUGGCGACCGGCGCACGGGUGAGUAACGCGUAUCCAACCUGCCUUACACUCUUGGACAGCCUUCUGAAAGGGAGAUUAAUACAAGAUGUUAUCAUGAGUAAGCAUUUUCGCAUGAUUAAAGGUUUACCGGUGUAAGAUGGGGAUGCGUUCCAUUAGAUAGUAGGCGGGGUAACGGCCCACCUAGUCUUCGAUGGAUAGGGGUUCUGAGAGGAAGGUCCCCCACAUUGGAACUGAGACACGGUCCAAACUCCUACGGGAGGCAGCAGUGAGGAAUAUUGGUCAAUGGACGAGAGUCUGAACCAGCCAAGUAGCGUGAAGGAUGAAGGUUCUAUGGAUUGUAAACUUCUUUUAUACGGGAAUAAACGGAUCCACGUGUGGAUUUUUGCAUGUACCGUAUGAAUAAGGAUCGGCUAACUCCGUGCCAGCAGCCGCGGUAAUACGGAGGAUCCGAGCGUUAUCCGGAUUUAUUGGGUUUAAAGGGAGCGUAGAUGGGUUGUUAAGUCAGUUGUGAAAGUUUGCGGCUCAACCGUAAAAUUGCAAUUGAUACUGGCAGUCUUGAGUACAGUUGAGGUAGGCGGAAUUCGUGGUGUAGCGGUGAAAUGCUUAGAUAUCACGAAGAACUCCGAUUGCGAAGGCAGCUUACUAACCUGUAACUGACAUUGAUGCUCGAAAGUGUGGGUAUCAAACAGGAUUAGAUACCCUGGUAGUCCACACGGUAAACGAUGAAUACUCGCUGUAGGCGAUAUACAGUCUGCGGCCAAGCGAAAGCAUUAAGUAUUCCACCUGGGGAGUACGCCGGCAACGGUGAAACUCAAAGGAAUUGACGGGGGCCCGCACAAGCGGAGGAACAUGUGGUUUAAUUCGAUGAUACGCGAGGAACCUUACCCGGGCUUAAAUUGCAACCGAAUAUGGCGGAAACGCUAUAGCUAGCAAUAGCGGUUGUGAAGGUGCUGCAUGGUUGUCGUCAGCUCGUGCCGUGAGGUGUCGGCUUAAGUGCCAUAACGAGCGCAACCCUUAUCGAUAGUUACCAUCAGGUUAUGCUGGGGACUCUGUCGAGACUGCCGUCGUAAGAUGUGAGGAAGGUGGGGAUGACGUCAAAUCAGCACGGCCCUUACGUCCGGGGCUACACACGUGUUACAAUGGGGGGUACAGAGGGCUGCUACCACGCAAGUGGAUGCCAAUCCCAAAAACCUCUCUCAGUUCGGAUUGAAGUCUGCAACCCGACUUCAUGAAGCUGGAUUCGCUAGUAAUCGCGCAUCAGCCACGGCGCGGUGAAUACGUUCCCGGGCCUUGUACACACCGCCCGUCAAGCCAUGGGAGCCGGGGGUACCUGAAGUGCGUAACCGCAAGGAGCGCCCUAGGGUAAAACUGGUGACUGGGGCU
rnacentral:rRNA from 1 species